UACGUAGGGGGCAAGCGUUGUCCGGAUUUAUUGGGCGUAAAGAGCGUGUAGGCGGCCAGACAGGUCCGUUGUGAAAACUCGAGGCUCAACCUCGAGACGCCGAUGGAAACCGUCUGGCUAGAGUCCGGAAGAGGAGGGUGGAAUUCCUGGUGUAGCGGUGAAAUGCGCAGAUAUCAGGAAGAACACCCGUGGCUAAGGCGGCUCUCUAGUACGGUACUGACGCUGAGACGCGAAAGCGUGGGGAGCGAACAGG
rnacentral:rRNA from 1 species